ACACGACUCUCGGCAACGGAUAUCUCGGCUCUCGCAUCGAUGAAGAACGCAGCGAAAUGCGAUACCUGGUGUGAAUUGCAGAAUCCCGUGAAUCAUCGAGUCUUUGAACGCAAGUUGCGCCCGAGGCCACUCGGCCGAGGGCACGCCUGCCUGGGCGUCACGCGU
rnacentral:rRNA from 1 species